GACGAACGCUGGCGGCAUGCCUAACACAUGCAAGUCGAACGGAGCCAAUCGAAAGAUCCCUUCGGGGUGAAUUUUGAGGAAGCUUAGUGGCGGACGGGUGAGUAACGCGUGAGUAACCUGCCUUUCAGAGGGGGAUAACGUUCCGAAAGGAACGCUAAUACCGCAUAACGUAUUUUUACCGCAUGAUAGAAAUACCAAAGAUUUAUCGCUGAAAGAUGGACUCGCGUCUGAUUAGCUAGUUGGAGGGGUAACGGGCCCACCAAGGCGACGAUCAGUAGCCGGUCUGAGAGGAUGAACGGCCACAUUGGGACUGAGAUACGGCCCAGACUCCUACGGGAGGCAGCAGUGGGGAAUAUUGGGCAAUGGGGGAAACCCUGACCCAGCAACGCCGCGUGAAGGAAGAAGG
rnacentral:rRNA from 1 species